UACAGAGGUCUCAAGCGUUGUUCGGAUUCAUUGGGCGUAAAGGGUGCGUAGGCGGCGCGGUAAGUCGGGUGUGAAAUCUUGGAGCUUAACUCCGAAACUGCAUUCGAUACUGCCGUGCUUGAGGACUGGAGAGGAGACUGGAAUUUACGGUGUAGCGGUGAAAUGCGUAGAGAUGUGGAGGAACACCAGUGGCGAAGGCGACUCUUUGGUCUGUACUACGCUGAGGCGCGAAAGCGUGGGGAGCAAACAGG
rnacentral:rRNA from 1 species